AUUGAACGCUGGCGGCAUGCCUUACACAUGCAAGUCGAACGGUAACGCGGGGCAACCUGGCGACGAGUGGCGAACGGGUGAGUAAUGCAUCGGAACGUGCCCAGUCGUGGGGGAUAGCCCGGCGAAAGCCGGAUUAAUACCGCAUACGAUCUACGGGUGAAAGGGGGGGAUCGCAAGACCUCUCGCUAUUGGAGCGGCCGAUGUCAGAUUAGCUAGUUGGUGGGGUAAAAGCCUACCAAGGCGACGAUCUGUAGCUGGUCUGAGAGGACGACCAGCCACACGGGGACUGAGACAGGGCCCAGGCUCCUGCGGGGGGCAGCGGGGGGGAAAUUUGGACAAUGGGCGAAAGACUGAUCCAGCCAUGCCGGGGGCGGGAAAAAGGCCUUCGGGUUGUAAACCGCUUUUGUCAGGGAAGAAAUCUUCUGAGUUAAUACCUCGGGAGAAUGACGGUACCUGAAGAAUAAGCACCGGCUAACUACGUGCCAGCCGCCGCCGUAA
rnacentral:rRNA from 1 species